UAGAAAUGAAAUAAUUUUAGUUUUUUCCUGACGAAUAAUUCUAGUUUUGUGCUGCUGACUUGUGAGGAUCCUGCAAGAACUAAAAAAGUAUCCUAGUAGUAAAUUUAUGUAUUAACGUUGAUGAGGUGAUACAUAUUGCAGAGGAUUGAUGAUUAAACAAGCAAAGGAAAAAAGGGACACGACAUGUAAGGAAGCGGUGGAGAUCUCUCUUUAUUCAUAUGUGCUCCCGAUCGAUGCUCAAAGUAAAGUACCCGACCAUGUCUACUAAGAACGCCGAUUGAACAACAGAAAUGUGAUGCUACUGGCUAAGUGGGCCAAAAUUUUGUUCUCUGAGUUCACUUUCUCCAUGAGAUUCUUCUUGACUCCGUGAAAGAACGCUGUAUCACACCUUAGGGGCUCAUCAGAGGCCUCCCGUAACUUUGGAUAUAUGAGUCCAGCAUCUCGUCCUGCUCGGAGAUCAUCGAUGGCGCCCAUCGUGAACUCACCCAUACGUUGGUAAUAUUAGAUGCAAGUGUUGAGCUCUUGUAUUAGGUCGCUCAUGAUAUGCACCGUGGAUGUCACACUGUGCACAGUUCGUUGAGCGGCGGCGAUGAGCAGCCCGCGCUUGUCCGUGGCCGAGGCACCGGCUGGAUCGGCCGAGAGCACGUUGGCACAAUGGUCGUAGGACACAUUAGGAGCCUUCGAGCACGUUGUGUUGAUGAGAGAUGAGGUGUUGCUGGCUACGAGGCUAGGGAGGAUGGCUAGGGUGAGGAGGAGUACGACGCAGGGCUGCAUUUGCAAGGAGCGUAAAAAGCUUCGUGUGAGGAUCCGUAUGUCGCUGCAGUAUGCAAGUCGAAAUUUAUGCACUGAAGCGGAGCGUUGAAAAGGAAAGAGAAUCAUGCAUUAAAUGUAAAGAUCGUGAAAAUAUAUACUCGGUACUAUUAAAAUUAAUGGUCUUGCUCCUAGGUGCUCUGUAUAUUUUGAAUACGUACAUUUAUUCUGUAAAUAAAAGCUCAUUUAAUAAAUAGUAGGUGGAGAUGUGCCUAGAAAGAGUACUAGUAUUCACAUUUAUGAACGAUAUUUUGAAGAAAACAUUGCGUUUAAGAAUACAGAUUGUACGUAUCAAAAAGAUUUGGAUUAUAAAUCGUCAUGCAGCUUUACACGGCCAGCCUGUCCGUUAAUGAUACAUGAGCAGCAAGACAGGACCAGGGAUAUGCAUUAUUGGUUGAUCUCAGAAUGGGGUCAUUCUGAUCUUUCCUGUCUCGUCUUGGUCCGGCCAUGAUGUCUGUAUCUGGUUGUGCUGUCUUGUACUGGGUCAUGGCCUGCUGGAUACAUUGCACAACAGCAAUGCGAGGAGAUCGGUCAGGAGGCCAAGGGCACGGCCACCGGCCCAGGGCAACACCGAAGUGCGUGCUGAACAAGACGGGCGUCAACACCAACGACACCUAGUGCUGGGUGGGCAUGAACGUAACAGGCCCUAAGGGUGAACACCAACUCUGUCUCGCGCGCGUGGGCUAUUGGCUUUGGGCCCCAACCUGGCCUGCCAAUCCCUCUAAGUUGGGCUUAUUGCUAAUCAAAUGGCCUGUCAGACCCGUGCCUAACCACGGAAACCGAAAGUUGCAUGCCGAACGCUUUUCAUAGCGCUAGCUGAAGUGAGAAGCCAUACGAGAAGUUGAAUCUAGGAAGUUUUGGAGAAGCUGGGCACUUUCAGAACACGCCCUUAAUCUAUCUCAUUUCCUUGUCUCAUGCUAGAAGUUAGGGCACGCGCUUCCUUGACUUCCCCUCUUGACUUUGUUUGAUGAUUGCACUAUAUGAACCUUUUGUUCCUUGAUCAAAUAUCUGGCACCACACCUUGGUAGUCGGAUGCUAUAGCAAUGCUUGAGACAUUGAGAGUGCAAGUGAUGAUGAAACCUGCGAGAGUACAAGUGAUGAUGAAACAAUUGAAGAUGAGCUGAUGCUAUUGGUUGGGUACGAAACUGCUCCAUGCACGAUCCUCGUGCCCGACGUAUGCACGACACAAAAUCCAGCGGCUGAUGCUCUUUCCAUCAUACGUAUGUCCGGCCUGAUUUCAUUCAUCGUGCAUGAAUCGUCUAUUUAUGUCGUGUGUAUAGCACGACUCGGUUGGGUAUUAUGUCAUGAACCACUCUAACAAGUAUUUGAAGAAGAAGGGGAGGAGGAUACCAUUAUGCAUAGGACAACAACGGGUUGUUGAAAACCUGAGUGAUCACAAGUGUUGCUACAAGAUGUUCAGAAUCUAGCUGGAUUGUUUUCAUGCACUACACAACACACUUGUUGACGUCUUCAACUUCAAGUCCACACGCGAAAUGGGUUCUAUUGAUGCUCUUUCUAUGUUCUCGUGGAUGGUUGGAGGCCCUCAGUCAGUGAGUCAAGCUGAGAUUCUAUUCAAGAGGUCCACUGAAAUAAUUCAUCAUAAGUUUGAAGAGGUGUUGCAUUGUUUGGUAUGUUUAGCCGCGGAUAAUAUCAAACCAAGAGAUCCACAAUACUCAACUAUGCAUGAAAGGCUUCAAAACUCUGGAUUCUUGCUUCAUUUUAACAAUUGCAUUGGUGCAAAUGAUGGGACACACAUAUGUGUUGUUGUGCCGGCAAUUGACAUUGCUAAGCAUAUUGGUUGCUAAUUCUUCCUGCUACUUGUGAGCUGCGUUGGGAUUUUCUCGAAGAGGAGAGAAUGAAGCAGUACAAUAGAGAUAAGUAUUUCUCUCAGUUAAGAACCAAGAUUAUCAAUCCAGUAGGGGAACCACGCUAAUCUUCGUUAGCAGUACCUACAAGCACAAAAGCAAAUUCUUGCAUCCAACGCAAAUAAGGGGGUUGUCAAUCCCCUCAGUGAUUAAUUGCAAUGAUCAAAUCUCGUAGUGAUAGAUACAUAAAAUAAAAUAAUGGUAAAUAAAUUGCAGCAAGAUAUUUUUGAAUUUUGUAUAUGAUAAAAGUAGACCCGGGGCUAUAGUUUUCACUAGAGACUUCUCUUUCGAACAAAAAACAUACUGUGUGUAAACAAAUUACUGUUAGGUAACUGAUAUAAAGCGCAUAGUUAUGACGAUAUUCAAGGCAAUGAUCAUGUAUAUAGGCACCACGUCUGAGACAAGUAGACCGACUCCUUGCAUCUACUACUAUUACUCCACCCAUCGACCGUUAUCCAGCAUGCAUCUAGGGUAUUAAAUUAAUAGAAACUGAGUAAUGCCUUAAGCAAGAUGACAUAAUGUAGACAGAGUAAAUCCAACCAAUAUGAAUAAACCCCAUCGUUUUCUCCUCAGUGACUAAUAUAAAUACGUGUCUUGUCCCCUACUAUGUCGAUGGGAUAUAGAGCACCGCAAGAUUGAAUCCAUUAUAAACCACCUCUCUCAUUGCAAGGUAAAUCAUUCUAGUUGGCCAAACUAAUAAACGGAUAGAUUGGAGAGAAAUACAAAGCUAUAAUAAUGAUGCAUAUUUUUUUUAGAAAAGACUCAAAUAUUUCUCAUGAAUAAUCUAACCAUAAACCCACAAUUUAUUGGAUCCCAACAAACACAUCGCAAAAAAAGAUUAUAUCGAAUAGAACUCCAAGAACAUCAAGGAGAACAUUGUAUUAAAGAUCAAAGAGAGAGAAGAAGCCAUCUAGCUACUAGCUAUGGACCCAUAGAUUUGUGGUAAACUACUCACGCAUCAUCGGAAGGCAACAAGGAUGAUGAAGAAGCCCUCCGUGAUCAAUUCGCGCUCCAGCAGAGUACCGAAAAAGACCUUCAGAUGGGAUCACGAAAGAACAAAAGCUUGCGGCGGUGGAAAAAGUGAUUUUGGGUGGCUCUCUGUUGGUUUCCCGAUUUUAUAGAGUUUAUAGAGGUGAAAUUAGGUCAGACGAAGCCACGAGGGGCCCACAAGGCAUCAAGGCAUUCCUACCCCCCGGGCGCCCUGUUUCCUUUGCCGUCUCCUCAUUUGCCUUCUAGCAUCCUCCAGAAGCUUCUAGGGUCUCUCUUGUCCAGAAAAAUCAUCAAAAAAAUUCGUAGAAUUUGGACUCCGUUUCAUACUGUAUUUUUGAAAAACUAAAAACAGGCAAAAAACAGCAUCUGACACUUGGCACUAAGUUAAUAGGUUAGUCGCAAAAAAAAGAUAUAUAAUUGCAUAUAAAACACCCAAGAUUGAUACUAUAAUAGCAUGGAACAAUAAAAAAUUAUAGAAACGUUGGAGACGUAUCAAUAUCCGACACAAAACAAGAUGACAAUGUGUAACUUUGACAUGAGAUUCACAUCAAUAGUCACUGGAUGGCCCAGAACCGCACAUGACACAAGGAUUUUCAAAGAUACAUUGACAAAGUACAUGACGACUUCCACACAUGACGAUUUCCACAUCCUCCCGCAGGUCAGCUUGUGCAUUAGUGUUCCCUAAAUAAUAUUACUUUCCAUUGCGUUGCACUAACAGUAGUAUUUUCACGAAAAUGAUAUCUUAUUGCUUCGGGUUAGUUCCAAUGCGACCAGAUAUCUAGCUCCAUACAAUGGAACAAAGUGUCAUCUGCCGGAGUUUCGACAAGGCCGUAAACCAAGUGGAAAAAAGGAAGUCUUUAACCAUGCUCAUUCUUCACUUCGGAAUGUCAUUAAAGGUGCGUUCAAGAUGAAAUGGCGUCUUCUACAACAUGUCACAAGUUACCCUGUUGCGAAGCAAACUCGGAUAAUAGUUGCAUGUAUGGUGCUGCAUAAUUGAAUAAGAGAGAGUAAUCUCCAUGAUAAGGAGAUUUACUUGUGUGGUCAAGAUGAGAACUAUAUGUCGGGUAACAUUCAAUCUGAGAAAUCUACGCCACUUCAUGGCCUUCAUGUGGGAGCCGAGCAUGUCAAUCUGAAUGACAUUCGUGAAGAUAUUGCACACUCUUUGAUUGGACAGGACGACGAAGAUGGUGACUAGUGUGCCUAAAGACUAGUCUUGUAUUUUCUUCCUGACUUAAUUGUAAUAUGGGAUCCUGCUUAUAGUUUGCAGUCCUUGUUAUUACUAAUAUAUCAUGUGGUAUUAAAGUGAACAUGUGCAUGUCUGCAUAUGUUAAUGAAAUUUUAUCAGUGAUAAUUACUUAGCAAUGAGAAAUAAUUUUUGGGCAAAAAUAGGUGCUAAGGAUGUUUUUUGAGGUACUAUACAACAUAACCUGAUAAAAUCAGUGUUUAAAUUACAUCUUCAGCAUCCAGGAGCAUUAUAGACUUUCACCACCAACUACAUCUUUGCUAGCCGUCCUAAAAAAAGUUACCAAACAAGUGUUUUGGGUUAUCAACUUCUAUCAGCUCAAGCCCGCUGCUUGUCAGCUUCUAUCAGCUUCUGCUGCGUCUCGUUCAGCCGCAGCCCAACAAACAGGGCCUUGAUCUAUCGUAACCGCGACCCCACGGUAUGACUGAGAUAUAGAGGAGGAAUACUUAUUGCAACUUGAACUUCAAGUGACAAAGGGAAACGUUUGAAACCGGCACGCCGGCCGAAAGUUCGGCCGGCCGAGCGCGCGUUGUUAGAUCAGAUGCAAAUCAACCGUCUUUAUUGCUCCAGUAACUGCCCACCGCUUUGCCUGGACCUUAUCUUAUCUCUUCACGGGGAGAUUUAUCAGCCACUCCCUUCUCUCUCUCACAUGAUGCAUAUCCUCUCUCGUUCUUCUUCCCACCCACCUUUUUGGCUGUUGCAGAUGCGGUCACCGGCGGCAACAUGGGACGACUACCACGGGUGCUACAAGGCCACCACUGGCGCCGGCCUCGGCGACCGGACUUGCAACCCCAGGUUCAUGGAGCUGCAACCGCGGUGACGAGGAGCUGCAUCCGACAUUGAUUUUUGCUGGAAGUAGUUCUUUUCUUUGCUACAAUCGACACAUAUAUUUGGUGAUGAGAUUUCUUUUGCUGGAACCAUCAACAAAUUUUGCUGGAACUGGCUUUUUCUGUUGGUACAAUCGACUAUCAGUGUUUUUGCUGGAGAGAACUUUUUGCUGGAACCAGUGUUUUUUUUGCUGGAACUGCCUUUUUUAUUUGCUACAAUCGACCUUUUUUCAGAUUUAUUCCUCUGAGAUUAUUUUUGCUGGAAACGUCUUUUGCUACCAUCGUAGUUUUUUUUGCUGAAACCAGCAUUUUUCAAAGGAUCCAAUGGGACGUUGACUCACAGCUACCUUGGGUAAUUUUGUUGCCAGCGUCGCUGGCGAGCAUCGACGCUCGACGGCGAGCAUUUUUUGCUACCACUGUAAUCUAUUUUUGCUACAACCAUAGUCUGUUUUUGUUGCGAACGUGGUACAAGCGACCGGCGAGCGCGGCUGGCGGGCGUGGUGGCACGGGUGGCCGGCAAGCACGAGAAACCAAGGACAAGUGCGGGCGGCCGGCGAGCGCGCGCGGAGUCCGGCUAGCUAGUGGGGCUGAGCUAGUCCGCUGCCUUUUCCCCCUCGAUCCGCUUUUCAUCCGCGUUUGACUGAGGGACGGAGAAAGGUUGUAUCCUACGGUUAAAAGAAGCUCUAUCGUACGUCCGGCAGCCGAUCGGUCCAAAUUUGAGCCGGUGCGCCGGCGCCUAGCACUGGCCAUUGACAAAAUAGGUGUUAGCAAUGGCUCUAUGAGGGCAUAAUUACCAUGUACUCAGUUACAAAUACAAUAUACAUACCAGGAGUUACAAGAAGAUGAGUACCAGAAGCUGGGUUCUCACGAAGUUACAAAUACAAUACACAUACCAGGGUUCACUACAAGUACCAUCGAGUCUUCUUUGCCGUUACUCAUUCAUACUCCCUCCCUUCCAAAUUACUUGUCGUGAUUAGUACUGAGCGGAGCUCUUAAGCACCGGAUUCGGGGAGUCCCCACAGCUAUUACUAGAUUAUAUACCGGAAAACAUUUCCUUAAUCCGAUCCCCCGUCAUGUAGACAAUGUUAAUUGCAAGGACAAAAACGGCAGGCCACAGUUGUUUGGGGCCGGCGUUGCUGUUCCACGUGCCGGCGAUAAAGCUAAUUCCCAUGCUCAGAAAACAGACUCCUACAAUGCAUGUGAAUGGAAUAGUCAUGAUCUUCUCGAUAUUCCAGUUCUUGGCGAGCGACGCAAUGAUCGUAAGGACGUGAAGAAGGCGCAUGUGUUGCAGUACUGAAACAGGAAGUACCUUCUGCUAAAUUUAUCUCGCAUAAUCGGGGUACCAGCCACGUACCCGUUGUCAUCCGCCCAGAAGCCACCGGGUGGAGUGAGCCCUGCGGCGAAGGUGACAGUAGCAACUAGUGAUGUCAGGACAAACAAGCAGGCACGGAAAUCCUCCUCCUCCUUUUUGACAGGGUCGCUGCCCUCGCGUUUGGCGGGCAUCAAACUCUGAAGGCCGUCUACGGCCACUGCUGCCAGCCGGCCGUCACUGGUGGGCAUGAACAGCACCGGCAUGCCAUUGGCUCCUUUUAUUACCUUCAACAACUCAUCAAUCGAGGUUUGCGGAGCAUGCUCAAUAGGGAUCUCUCGAUGUCCAGGGUGCGCCGAAUCUCUACCUACACCGGCUCGUCCGAACAUUGACAUUUCUUCUGACAUAUUCUCUGCAACAAACAUCAGCUCAAUCAACUAGCGGUUCCUUGUUUUCUUGUGUAGAAUACAUGGCUUUAGUGAUAAUUUUGAUUAGUUCAAUUAGAAGUGUCAGAUUUAGAUCAAAAUUUCUAUGGCAAGAUGUUCUCAGAUUCAUCCCUCGGAUACUUUGAGACAUCCUCAAAGAUCUGGAGGCGAUAGUUCAUUUUACUCCCUCCGUUUCUUUUUAAUCCGCAUAUAAGAUUUGGUCAAAGUUAAACUUUAUAAAGUUUAACUAACUUUAUAGAAAAAAUAUUAACAUCUACAAUACUAAAGUUAUAUGUUAUGAAAAUUAAUUUCAUGAUGCAUCUAAUAUUAUUGAUUUCAUAGUGUGGAUGUUGAUAUAUUUUCCUACAAAGCUAGUCAAAUUUUAUAAAGUUUGACUUUGACCAAUUUUUUUAUGAAAACUAAGAAGAAACGAAGGGAGUACUUUUUACAUUGAAUAGAGCAAAAAACCUAAAGUUACAGGGUGGUUAUUUCAAAAGCCCACCCUAAGGGGGGCUGUUUGAUUAGGUGAAGGGGUUUGGUAAGCGGACGUAAAAAAAAAUCCGUUGAUCUAGCAUUUUCGUUGCACCAAUAACAACCUUUAGGGACAAGUUAACACAAAACUACAAGUCCAAGGGUCUUUAACUAAUACCCACAACGGCACAAUCCUAAAGGUGACGAAUAACAAAAAAGAAACGUAAGUACAAUGAUUAAUAAGUUGAUGCAAAAUCUGACAUUGUGGGCAUCAGUUUUUUUCAGCCGGGGUCUGCUAGUUCUCGCAACCAGACGGUGACGAGGGAGCCCGCAGCGGAUGUUAAGGCGGUUAAGCACAAGUUGUAAAGAAAAAGGCUGUAUAGUGCAAUAUAUAUGGACAAGAAUGCACAGCACCCGGAGGUGGAUUUGGAGCACUCGGCGACGCAGACCUACGAAAUCUCGGCCGACGGCCUGCUCUACCAGGAUCCGAGCCACUUUGGUGGAAAUCAUUACAGGCUGUGAAUACGCCACCGCCUGCGUACAACGAAACAGUAGCUACAUGUCCUUGGUCAUUUAUUCUAUCUACGUGGGGACGUUCAGUUUGUCCGGCGAGAAUUAAAUGAAUCCAUCAUCACAUACCUGUGGAGUCUUCUUCUAGCCCGCAAGCACUCCAUUGCCAGAUCUGGAGAACAGGCUUCCUCUCCUCUGGUACUACUGAUUAUAUUCCAAACAAAAAUUGCAGAGAAGAAGAGGAUUUGAGUUGGGUAAUACUCGUGUGCGUCCGAUUAUUAGACAAAAUCUAAAGCAGUUGUACUUUUUUUGGCGGAAGGAGAUGACCCAUUCUGCAGAUCGGCUUUUCCUUCCUGUAAACUGCAUCGAUUGCAUGUAAAGUGUUUUGAUUUUUAACAGAUGGAGACCCUGGGUCGAAAUCAAGGACUCCAAAUCUUAUUAUUUCAUUUAAACAUUGUUGAAUAUGUAAGAACUCUGGCUAGAUCAGGCUGUUCCAAUAGUUCGAGUUGUCCACGCUAUGGCUGCCCCGAUUUGUGGCUGCUUGGAUUGGACUUUGUGCUUGGAUGUGCACCGUGGUGGUGUUUAUAAUGCGAGAUGGGAAGCGUGUGGGUCCGGAGUUUGUGUAAGCGUGUAGUGAAGGAUGUACAGUGUCCUUUAAGAGAGAUGAGGCAGGCUGUUUUGCAGGGAGGGACUUGACCUUGUUGACUUGCGUGCAUGGGUGUACAGGAAGGGCAUGUGCAGAGAUAUUCAGAGGAGUUACUGAGCAUUAGUUGCCCCGUACAAAUGAACAGUAAGGACGGUUCAAGUCUUGAUUUGACGAGAUGCUUGUCAACGGAAAACAUAAUGGACAAUUGACGUACUAAAAAUUAAUUAAAACACGCAUCUGAUUACGAAUAUAUCAAGGCGUUACAAAUUGUGAAAAACGAUUGGAACAUCUAAUUAGAGGGGGAAAUAAUAUAAAAACAAAGAUUGCCUCUGAAGCACAACUGGUUACAGACACGACCGCUGAACAUAAUUCUUCAUUAUUAUGCGGGUGGAACUUGAAGCACAGACAUGCGUCUUGAAGUUACUGGCGGCUUCAGGCCACCUUGCACCAUACGAACAGCAGGGCGAUCAGAUUGAUUGAGAGAAGAGCGAUGAUGAUGCGGUGGAAUUUCCUGUCUUCGCGGGAAGCGGUGAUGAACAACUUUGGCCACUUGGCACGUAUGAUGUUUAUGUAGUUUUCCUCCCAUUUCCAGAAGGUGCACUUGCGCGACUACAAAAAUGAGGAGAGAACACGAAGAACAAAUUUUGCAGAAGAACAGGAUAGUACUAAAAAAUUAUGAAGAUAUUAGGACAUACCCACCCGUGCUCGCACUUGUAAAAGUGUUUGCCUGGAUUGUUUGUAGUGCGGGAGACCCACCACUGAACCGAACCAUUCCAUUGUUGUAGAAAAGGCAAACCAUGAGGGGAAGUGGUGGCUGCUCCUCCAGAGGAACAAGGGGCACGCUGGAGUUUGACAUGGAAGCGCUUGAGCUUGACAUGGCAAUGAGAACCAUCUACCAGCGAGGAACAAGGUGAGAGAGCAAGCUUGAAGAUAAGAAAGGAUCGUGAUGGUAUAAUAUGCAGCUGUUCAGAGGAGGAAGAUGACCGUUGUAGUGAGCAUUGUGCCGUUGGGUGGAAGAGUGUAGCGUGUGCAUUAACUACAUUUGGGUGGUUGGAAGUUGGCAGGUGAGACUAGCUUCAGGAGGACAUCCAUUUGUUUGGACCGAGACAGAAAACGCGUGCACUGUUUAUAUGAUAUACCAAGCAGUGAAAGUGGAUUACUAGAAGUGAAAAGGUGUGAAUACGAAGCAGGUAAUAUAGUGAGUGGGAAUCCCAAUGCUAGUGGAUGGGAAGGAUUACAGUGGGUGUAGUUGCCGAGAGCUCCAAUGCAAUUUCACACAGCACCCUAUGUACCGAGACCACUUAUAAAUAAAAUUAAUAGUACUUUCUCUGACCUAUAAUAAGUGUUGCAGUUUUGAACUGAAAUAGAGUUUAACUUAGUUUAAAACUACGACACUUAGUGUGGAUUAGCUAUUGGAAGCGAGACUAAUGGUGGAGUAGCUUCUGCGGAUGAUGGUCAUAGUUUGGUUCACCAACAAGUCUGGCAGCGUGACGGACACAGGCCAAAAAAUCUAAAACAAAGACAUUAUUAAAGAGAGAAGAUAAGCACCUUGAACGCGUCCGGAGAGCCGAACGAGGCAGCCCUGCGUAAUGUUUCUGGCUAGUUUUGCUCUGUUGCUGGGGUGUGGUGAGAGUGAGCUGGCUCGUGGCUCUCGGGAGGGUUUAAGAACGCAUUCACAGCGCCCCAAGGUCCACACACUUCCAUCUCAUCUCAAAUUCUCACGCCUUAUCUUCUUACAAGCUUGACCCAGCCACGUACAGCCGCAGCGAAGACCUCAAAUCCGUCAACUAUUCCAUUACCGCCACUUCCCACCACUGUCGUCGCUGUUUGAUCUGGACAGGGUUGUUCUCUUCUCCAGCCAAAUGAAUUCAGCCAGCUUGAAAAGGUAUCCAAUUCAGUCUUGUCUCGAUUCCUCUUUUGUAUAUAUUCUACGUUUAUUUAUGAAAAUACCGUAGAAUGACGUUCCAUGCGUCAAAAAAAUAGUCUGCUGAAAUUCGGUAUUAUUGUUGCUUUUCAUAGUAUUUCUAGUGUACUCUUGCAUUGAUGGACGGUGAAAUCAACACUUGUAUCCCUUCUAUUUUUGAACAAAAUAGGAGGUUCCCUCCGAUUUCAUUAAUGAAACCAAACCAGAACAACCAUCAUCCCCUUCCAUGCCAAAAGAGGGGGUUCCCUCCGAUUUCAUCAACACUUGUAUCCCUUUUUAGAACUGAGGCUUCGUCCGGCCUUAAACUGAGGCCCUUGAGGUUUACAACUAGAGUUCAAAGCAAAAAACUAGGAAGUUCAUUACAAGUCAGGCGUGAUAAAACAAAGUGGUGCAUUGCUUGGAAAGCAGUAAACACAUAAUCACAACAUAUGGGGGUCAUUGUCGGACCACCAUCGCAACAAGCCCAACCUAAGGAUGGGUGACUCCUCUACUGGUAUUGUCCCAUCUCGAGGUAGCGUCUGUCACUUGAUUCGCUCGCUCAGCAUUUUUUCCGCUUAGUCCACUAUUGUUUUAUAAAAAAGAUGGUUGUCACUUUAUUUUGAAAAGGUUUUUAAAAUAGAAAAAUUUCAUGGAUUUUCAAAAAAACCAGGAAUUUUCAUAUAUUUCAAAUUUUAAAACUCAUAUUUUUAACAAGUUCAUUAAUUACAAAUAUAUUAAGAAUUUAUAAAUAGACUUUGUAAAUUUUAAAAUGUUCAAUAAACUUAAAAUAUUCAUGAAUUUUAAGAAUAUUCAUGAAUUUUAAAAAUAUUCAGGGACUUGAAUUUUUGUUGACAAUUUUUAAUAAAUUUCAUGAAUUAAAAUUUAAAAAAUUAAAAAUAAAGAAGAGAAGGAAAACCCCAAAAGAAUAACUAGGAAAAAAGUAGGAACCCUCAACCAGUGAUGAUGAGAGAUGAGGUGGUGCUGGCUACGA
rnacentral:lncRNA from 1 species